GAACGAACGGCAUAGUGGUCAGCGCGCUCGGAUGGUUUUAUAGAGGCGCGGGUUUAAGUCCCGCUACGUUCA
rnacentral:tRNA from 1 species